CAGAAAGUGAUUUAAUUAAAAUAUAAACUUUGGAAGUUUAAAUUGAGUAUAACUCCUUUCUGA
rnacentral:tRNA from 1 species